AGUCAGAGAAACCAGUUAGGAGGCUAUUGCAAUAAAAUCCAGUCACAGGAGGGAUGCAUUUCACCCGAAGUUCUCCCUGUAGCCAAAGAAGCAAGUUCAGGUAAAAGAAGAAAGCUGGAAACAGGGCCCCACUUGGGGAAAGGUGAAUACAAAAUUGUAGACCCUCCCCAUUACCUCUCAGCAAGGUCUAACCAGCUUAAAAUCUUUACUGGGAUUUGUACUGACAUGCAAUAUAACGAUCCUUACCCACUUCAAGAAAUGCCAUCCUGAUUCUUUGUACUGGCUUCUCCUGCAGACCACUUUGAGCUCUGGGUGAAUGGGGCAUGAGUUAUUUUUAAAAAUGUAAACUAAAGAGAACCAACCAGUAAAAAAUGCAUGGCUGUCAAAUUAAA
rnacentral:lncRNA from 10 species